rnacentral:lncRNA from 1 species
AUGGCACGUGAUUUGAAAAAUUCGUGUCAAAAAUUCGGAACGCCUGUUUUUUGUCACAUUAUGGUGUGGAUUUUUUGUUUUCUUUUUUCUAAGCAUCACCAAGGAGGGUCUUACAAGUCAGUGAGGGGGAAGAAGCUGGACACGAGUAACCUGGCCUCCAUGUCUGCUCGUGGCUGCACGGAGCACACACACACACACACACACACACACACACACCUCCAGCUGCAGCCCAGCGAGCAGCAGGUCCACGCAGUGUGAAAACUGUCUGAUGCUUCUCGGGGAAAAAAAAUUAAAACAGACAUAAAACGACAACGUCAAGUCAGUUCUGAAAUGCCUUUACACCAGAGACUUCGCCAUCCGGCGAGGCGACAUGGCGAGACUUUUCAGAAGGGGAAAUAGCAAAUCCGUGGCGAACCAGGCUCCACAUGAUGAUACUUGAAUCACAGAUCAUAUACAUUUUACUCUUCAAGGUGACCCUUUUUUUUUUGAAGGGGGGGGGGGGGGGGGGGGGGGGGGGGGGGGCUCUUCUUGAGGUGGUGGGUGUGCAUCAAAGAACACGCCAUGUUUGUACACUGCAUAUUGCGUGCUAUACCAAAACAUAUUAGAGCAUGCUUCGCAAAUAGGGCACGCAAACAUAAAAUUCUUUGGCUACUCCAAACACCGGUUUUGCUGUCACUUUUUCUGGGAACAACGAUCGGCAUUAACGGAACGUUGUCUGUUGCUUGACAAGUGAGGUUGCCAUUUCUUAAAUCUAUAUUUUUUUAAGGUAUCAUAUAUGUUUUAUAUAUAUAUAUAUAUAUGCGGAAUUGGUUAAACUAACGAUGUUUUUAGAUUUAUAAAUGUCUUUUUCCUUUUUUAUUAUGGUUAUGAUUAUUUGCCUUUUUGAAAACAUAGCAAUGAAAACUGGCUAGACAGUAACACAUGGUGAAGGGGAAAUUGCUUCCCGUAAGGAUGCUUGUCCCCGAAAUAACCCCCCUCCUCUCCCCAGGCAAGCGUUGGUGCAUGGAAAUGUAGUUCAAACCGAAUUAAUUUCCUUACAUGACUUUUUAUGGUUAUAUGGUUAUAUGUUUCAGAUUGUUAGAUAUUAUUUCAUAUAAUAAUUUGUAAUAUUGUCUGAAUUUUUGUAUUUUGUUUUUGACGACAUCUACCUCAGUGUCAAGUCAUCUUUCAUUUUGUUUUCAAUGCAAGCUUUAACUUAAAAGAAAGGGGGAAAAAAUUCAGAGGAUUCACCUCAUGACAGUUAAACACACCGCCAUGACCAUUAAUGUUAGUACUGUAAGCCAGGUUUUGUGUUGCUGUGCACUGUGUUGCAGUCUUGGCAGACAUGAAAUAAUACAUAAUUUAUGCUUGUGAAAAAGCACUGGGAAAAAUAAUGGCAGUCCGCACAGGAUUCUAACAUUGCCGAUCAACACUUGACUCUAUGCAGUUUAUUUCUGUGUUGUCAUGUUAUUUAAAAAAAAAAAAAAAUUAUAGGCUGGCCAUAGAAAGGGUGUUGCGACAGUGUCCCAUGAAAAUUUGCUCAUUGGGCAUAGGUUGUGUUCUUCUUUGGAAUUAUUUUGAAUGUAUGAGUCCUCACUCCAUGUUUUUCCAUGUUCUUCCAUCCUGCGUGAAGAAUGUCCAGCUCGAAUCACAACCAUCAUGCAUCACAGCACACCUUCAUUAACAUGCAUAUUAAUACCCUCUGGCUUGGGACAGCAGUGUGACCUUCACCAUGACACUUGCUUUCCGAUCAGAGGUCUUCCAUAUGGAAGUAAGAUGCAUUGGUUUUAUUGUUUUUUUUUUUAAUUGUUAAAUUAUUUGAUUUUUUUUCCACUUUUAAUUUCCUAAUCAUUACCAUGUUUUAGACACUUCCCUUUUCGUUUGUGGUCUAUUUUUGAUAAAUAAAUCUUUAAUUCCUGUAAAUUUUGUUUCGUUU